UACGGAGGGAGCUAGCGUUGUUCGGAAUUACUGGGCGUAAAGCGCACGUAGGCGGCUUUUUAAGUCAGGGGUGAAAUCCCGGGGCUCAACUCCAGAACUGCCUUCGAUACUGGCGAUCUUGAGUCCGGAAGAGGUGAGUGGAACUCCUAGUGUAGAGGUGGAAUUCGUAGAUAUUAGGAAGAACACCAGUGGCGAAGGCGGCUCACUGGUCCGGUACUGACGCUGAGGUGCGAAAGCCAAGGGAGCAAACGGG
rnacentral:rRNA from 1 species